CGUAGGGUGCGAGCNNNUNNCCGAAAUUAUUGGGCGUCACGAGNUCGUAAGGNCGGUCUGUCGCGUCUGCUGUGAAAACCCGAAGCUCAACCUCGGGCCUGCCGUGGGUACGGGCAGACUAGAAUGCGGUAGGGGAGAAUGCAAUUCCUGGUGCUAGCGGUGGAAUGCGCAGAUAUCAGGAGGANACAGCCGAUGGCGAACGGCAGUUCUCUGGGCCGUAACUGACGCUGAGGAGCGAAAGCGUGGAGGAGCGAACAGAGAUUAAGAUACCCUGGNUAGUCCACGCUCGUAAACGUUGGGCGUCUAGAUGUGGGGCACCAUAUCCACGGUUCUCCGUGUCGCAGNUCUAACGCAUUAUAGCUNGCNCCCGUCCUGGGGAGUACGGCCGCAAUUGGCNUAAAACNUCAAAGGAANUUGAUCGGGCGGCCCNGCACAAGCGGCGGAGCCAUGACGGAUGUAGAUUCGAUGCUAUACNGCGAAAGANACCUNUACCAAGGCUUGACAUANNCANCGAGUAUACGCCCNUAGAAAUUANGNGGAACUCUUUGGACACNUCAGUGAAUCAGGUGNGUGCAUGGUUGUCGUCAGCUCGUGUCGUGAGAUGUUGGGUUAAGUCCGCGCAACGAGCGCAACCCUCGUUCUNAUGUUGCCAGCGCNGUANAUGGCGGGAACUCAUAGGAGACUGCCGGGGUCAACUCGGAGGAAGGUGGGGAUGACGUCAAAUCAUCAUGCCCCUUAUGUCUUGGGCUUCACGCAUGCUACAAUGGCCGGUACAAAGGGCUGCAAUACCGUAAGGUGGAGCGAAUCCCAAAAAGCCGGUCUCAGUUCGGAUUGAGGUCUGCAACUCGACCUCAUGAAGUCGGAGUCGCUAGUAAUCGCAGAUCAGCAACGCUGCGGUGAAUACGUUCCCGGGCCUUGUACACACCGCCCGUCAAGUCAUGAAAGUCGGUAACACCCGAANCCGGNGGCCCAACCCUUGUGGAGGGAGCCGUCGAAGGUGGGAUCGGUGAUUAGGACUAA
rnacentral:rRNA from 1 species